rnacentral:rRNA from 1 species
CCUACGGGUGGCAGCAGUGGGGAAUAUUGGACAAUGGGGGCAACCCUGAUCCAGCCAUGCCGCGUGUGUGAAGAAGGCCCUCGGGUUGUAAAGCACUUUCAGUGAGGAAGAACGCCUGGUGGUUAAUACCCAUCAGGAAAGACAUCACUCACAGAAGAAGCACCGGCUAACUCCGUGCCAGCAGCCGCGGUAAUACGGAGGGUGCGAGCGUUAAUCGGAAUUACUGGGCGUAAAGCGCGCGUAGGUGGCUUGAUAAGCCGGUUGUGAAAGCCCCGGGCUCAACCUGGGAACGGCAUCCGGAACUGUCAAGCUAGAGUGCAGGAGAGGAAGGUAGAAUUCCCGGUGUAGCGGUGAAAUGCGUAGAGAUCGGGAGGAAUACCAGUGGCGAAGGCGGCCUUCUGGACUGACACUGACACUGAGGUGCGAAAGCGUGGGUAACAAACAGGAUUAGAUACCCUUGUAGUC